GGACGUGGGAGAGAGAAAGGUGAGGGCUUUCUCGCGCCGGGUAUCUUAGGGAGGGUGGAAAGGAGGGCGGUGAGCCCCGGGAAAGGCCUGACUCUGAGCCCCGGAAGCGGGGCGACAGAGGGGGGCGUCGCCUCCGCAUCCUCGCCCCCAGGGUCUCGGCGCCUCAGCUCCCGCUCUUGUCUGCGGCGAGGCCUCCAAACCCCCGCCCGCCCCCUCCCCGGCCUAACCCCUCCCCCGGGCGCCCAUUGGCCUGCACCCCACCCCCCAGCCUGCGAAGCGCGCGGGGGAGGCGGUGGUCGGUCGCUUCCCUCCUGCCCCAGGCCUGGCUUCGCGGCGGAGGUGGCGCCUCUCCGGCAGGCAGACCCGGCCGGGAGGGCGAGGGCGGGCGGGGGGUGCCGCGCGCGGGCCCCGGGCGGCGACUGGCGGCGGCGGCGGCGGCUCCAGGCGAGCGCGGUCCCCGCGUGCGCACACGCACACGCCGCCGCGCAGGGACCCGCGGACAGCGGGCGCCGGCGGCCACAGAACGCGGAGCCCCGGCCCGGCGCGCGCUCCUCGGCGCACACGCUCCCCGUCCCCGGGCGGCGCGGGGCGCGGACUCGCCGCUGCGCUCCCUCGCCGCGGAGUCAGCCCGGCCGGCAGGGCAGCCCGCAGCCCCGCGCGAGGCCCCGCCGCGAGCAGGUAAGGGCCGCCCCGCCGCCCUUGCCCCUCCACGCCCCGGCCGCCCCCCCCACCCCCGACUCUAGAACCUUCGCCCCUCGUGGCCCACAGACCCCCCACUCCAGCUCGGCGGUCUCCACCGCGUCCUCCACCGACGGAGAGUGGGCCAGGGCCAGCGCGGGGCCAAUCUCCCGAAUCCCAAACGAAGCCCCUUCCCGCCGCUGCUCCCUUCCUGCGCGACAGUCUGACCCCCCCCACCCCACCGUGUCUGGGGGUCGCGCUUGGGGCGACAGAUCCCUGCACCCCCCAAGGGGGUGGGGUCGGCCUAGCCACCUCGCGCCUCUCCGGGUGCUGAGAACCGAGAACCAGGGGCUGGGAAGGCGCUGCGGCCAGAGGGACCUGUCUCUGUGCUCCCGAGGCAGACGGAAGCGCCUACGCGAACUGGGAAGGCGACGCUGGUGGGUCCCCGAGGGCUGGGUACCGCAGUCCUCACCGGGUUUGAGGGGUGGGCAAGCGAUGUGCUCGGUAGGGUGUGGGGUAGGAGCCAGCGUAGAAUGCCCCCUCUAUGGUGAAACAUUCGGGAUUGUUCAAAAGAGCGUUGUCCCUCGGUUUCCCGCGGCGCGGAAGGGCCGGGGCCAGGAUGCCUGGGCUUGGGGGGUCCCGCUAGGAGACACCCUGCGGCGGCCUGUGGGAGAAAGGUGCUCGUCUCCCGGGCUGAAGCUGGCCGGCCCGAGACCCCUGCCCGUCCCGUUCCUGCGGCAGCUGCAGGAAGCGGGGGGGGGGGGGGGGGGGGGGGGGGGCCACAUCCUGGUGGGACCUUGGCAGGUUAGGGCUCAGCAGGGAGCCCAGCCAGAAGCCAAUUGUAUUUCACAAGGAGCCGGGGAGUGGAGCCAACCCCCUGGAAGCAGCUCAGGCCCCCUUUGGAAGAUGCUUCUUGGGGGUGGUAGACCCCUGCUCACUCUCCAGACCAUUUCUAAGCUUUUAGUGCAGAUGCGUCAGUUCCACUUUCUUUACCUCCCCCAGCCACACAGUGCCCCACAAAGCCAGUUCCUCUCAAAAAAAAAAAAAAAAAGAAAACCCGAAAACUGA
rnacentral:lncRNA from 1 species